GAGCGCGGGAGACCGGACCCGAGAGCAGAGCUGCUGUUUCGGCGCGGGUCGGCUGGCGGCCGACUGCCCCAGAGCCCCCACCCGGCACCACACAGACCCCACCCCCGCCCUGCGCCAGCCUUCGUCCCCGCAGAGGACCCCCCGACACCAGCAUGGACUGCUGCACCGAGAACGCCUGCUCCAAGCCGGACGACGACAUUCUAGACAUCCCGCUGGACGAUCCCGGCGCCAACGCGGCCGCCGCCAAAAUCCAGGCGAGUUUUCGGGGCCACAUGGCGCGGAAGAAGAUAAAGAGCGGAGAGCGCGGCCGGAAGGGCCCGGGCCCUGGGGGGCCUGGCGGAGCUGGGGUGGCCCGGGGAGGCGCGGGCGGCGGCCCCAGCGGAGACUAGGCCAGGUGAGGCGGGCGGCGCGCGGCUGGCUGACAGCUGCCCUUCCCCAGCCCUCCCCAGGAGCAGGGGGAGAAUAAGGGCGGGUUGGAGGUGCAGGGGGCGUGGAGGGAGCUAAGGGUUGGGGGAUAGAAAUCCGAGAUGGGAGGUGGGUGGGAAGAGGCUGAAGGUUGCGCGGAUUCCAGGAGCUCACCUGUUUCUCCCUCUGCAUCCUCCCUUCUGCCCCGCCCUGGACCGAAGAAGAACUGAGCAUUUUCAAAGUUCCCGAGGAGAGAUGGAUGCCGCGUCCCCUUCGCAGCGACGAGACUUCCCUGCCGUGUUUGUGACCCCCUCCUGCCCAGCAACCUGCCAGCUACAGGAGCCCCCUGCGUCCCAGAGACUCCCUCACCCAGGCAGGCUCCGUCGCGGAGUCGCUGAGUCCGUGCCCUUUUAGUUAGUUCUGCAGUCUAGUAUGGUCCCCAUUUGCCCUUCCACUCCACCCCACCCUAAACCAUGCGCUCCCAAUCUUCCUUCUUUUGCUUCUCGCCCACCUCUUCCCGCACCCAGCAUGCAGCUCUGCCUCCGCAGCCUCAGUGCGCUUUCCUGCGCGCACUGCGGAGGGCGCCCUAAGCGUCACCCAAGCACACUCACUUAAAGAAAAAACGAGUUCUUUCGUUCUGUGCGCAGCUAAAAGGGGCGCCCUACAUCUCCGUGCCACUCCCGCCCCAGCCUAGCCCCAAGACUUUGGAUCCGGGGCGAGAUGAAGGGAAGAGGGUUGUUUUGGUUUCGGACGACCCUUGCUCUGACCGGAAGAGAAGUCCCUAUCCCACACCUGCCUGUCACGUUCCCUCCCCUUUCCCCAGCGCACUGUUGAGGGCAGCCUCUCCAGCUCUCUUGUUUAUGCAAACGCCGAGCGCCUGGGAGGCUCGGUAGGAGGAGUCUUCCACGGCCCCGCCCCGCCCCUGUCGGUCCCGCCCUCCCCCCCGCCGGGCUCCUGGGGCUGUGGCCGAAAGGUUUCUGAUCUCCGUGUGUGCAUGUGACUGUGCUGGGUUGGAAUGUGAACAAUAAAGAGGAAUGUCCAAGUG
rnacentral:lncRNA from 1 species